UUAGAAUAUUAAAAGUAAAGGGGGAAACCUGGUCAUUUGUACAACUGAACUCAUUCAACUGAAAUGUGUCUUCCCCAUUUAACACAACCCCUCUGAAUCAGAGAGGUGCGGGGGGCUGCCAUAAUCGACAUCCACGUCUUUGGCGCCCGAGAUGCACCCUAGGAAUAUCCCUUCAGGGAUCUUGUUAUAACAGACCUGGGUUCAAAUACAUAGUGUACUUAAGUAUUUGACAUUUUGUGUUUGAGUAUUUUUUAAUACACAGCCAAAAACUACAUCAAAUAAAAACAACAAGUAGUUGUAAAUACAUGCCACUUGAAACAUAGGUGCAGUUAAUGACCGGUGCAGUUAAUGACAUGACCAGACUUCUGACAUGGAAACAUAAACAAUACUAUCUGAUGACAAAAGAGUGCUAUAUAAAGGGUAGGUAAUCAAGGGAGUAAUGAAGUCCAGGUGUGACUGAUGAGUCGCAAGUGUGCGCAAUGAUGGUUGCCAUGUGUGAAUAAAGAUGGGUUGCCAUGUGUACAUAAUGAUGGGUUGCCAGGUGUGCAUAAAGAUGGGUUGCCAUGUGUACAUAAUGAUGGGUUGCCAGGUGUGCAUAAAGAUGGGUUGCCAGGUGUGCAUAAAGAUGGGUUGCCAUGUGUGCAUAAUGAUGGUUGCCAGGUGUGCAUAAUGAUGGGUUGCCAGGUGUGCAUAAAGAUGGUUGCCUGGUGUGCAUAAUGAUGGUUGCCAUGUGUGCAUAAUGUCGGUUGCCAGGUGUGCAUAAUGAGGAGUUGCCAUGUGUGCAUAAUGAUGGUUGCCAGUUGUGCAUAAAGAUGGGUUGCCAUGUGUACAUAAUGAUGGGUUGCCAGGUGUGCAUAAAGAUGGGUUGCCAGGUGUGCAUAAAGAUGGGUUGCCAUGUGUGCAUAAUGAUGGUUGCCAGGUAUA